CCGGGUUCCAUCGAGACCUCAGCCAGAGAACCACACAUUAUCUCUCCGUGAAAACACGAAGGGAAGUAGCACUGAAGGGGAAAAGUGGAGGAGGAGACCGCCGAAAACGGAGCAGCGCGGAGGCCGUCGCCGCCGCCGAGCACGGAGCCGCGCGGAAGGCAGCCGUCUCCACACGGCCGCCGCCUCGCGCCGAGCACGGAGCAGCGGGGAGCCGGCGCCGAGCACGGCUGUCGCCGGCAUGAAUCACGAAGCAGCACUGGAGGCUGGCGUCGCCGCCAAGCACGAAGCAGCGCUGGAAGCCGUCAUGGUCGCCAAGUACGGAGCUGCGGAGCUGCGGUGGAGGCAUCCGCCGCCGAGCACAUCAAGCCACGAACCCCAGUAGUCCCGUACCUGUUGUCCUCUUGAUUUGAUUUGGCUGAGAUACUUUUUGAUUUCUGCAUGUGAAUCUAGAGUGACAAUACCGUGCAUGUGCAUCAAUUUGCCUGUGGGAAAUGGAUUCCUCGCAGAUUUUUUAGUCUAGAACCUGGUAGUUAGGCUUAAUUAAAAUUGCAAUUAGGCUUAAUGAACCUGGCAGUUUUCUUUGCCA